AGAGGUUGCAAGGUCAAGACCAUAGCAGAAGUGCUCAUGGUGUAGCCCUGUCAGAUUCAAAUGAAUCUGCAAAUUCUGCU
rnacentral:ribozyme from 1 species